rnacentral:rRNA from 1 species
AUUGAACGCUGGCGGCAUGCCUUACACAUGCAAGUCGAACGGCAGCGCGGGUGCUUGCACCUGGCGGCGAGUGGCGAACGGGUGAGUAAUAUAUCGGAACGUGCCCUAGAGUGGGGGAUAACUAGCGGAAAGAUUAGCUAAUACCGAAUACGACCACCGGAGGAAAGUGGGGGAUCGCAAGACCUCAUCCCCCUGGAGGGGCCGAUAUCUGAUUAGCUAGUUGGUGGGGUAAAAGCCUACCAAGGCGACGAUCAGUAGCUGGUCUGAGAGGACGACCAGCCACACUGGGACUGAGACACGGCCCAGACUCCUACGGGAGGCAGCAGUGGGGAAUUUUGGACAAUGGGGGCAACCCUGAUCCAGCAAUGCCGCGUGUGUGAAGAAGGCCUUCGGGUUGUAAAGCACUUUUGUCAGGAACGAAACGGUGAGGGCUAAUAUCCUUUGCUAAUGACGGUACCUGAAGAAUAAGCACCGGCUAACUACGUGCCAGCCGCCGCCGUAA